UUCUAUAUUCCAUGCUUAGCGUGUGUCGCUGUAUCCUACGGUCGUUUUUUCUUGUAACUGUUUGGUUAGAAUUAUGUUAUUGAAGAUUGCAUUAUGAGAAUGGUGUAAACAUCUCAAACAGCAGAGUGGUAGUAUAUAAUUCGUAUAAUCAGAGAUGAAAUAAGGCGGCAUUGGCGUCACGCGUUUGAAAAAUACUUAUCUACUUCGUUUGUCCCAGUAUUUGAGGGGUAAUGCGAGAAUACUAACAGGGUGGUAUCGAAUCGAUUGAAUUACUACGAGAAAUCGGCGAUGAUGUUCGAUCGUGUAUUCGGGCCAUGAAUUCGAUUAGGCAUUGCGUGGCCCACGACGCGGAUAGUCUGUUUACUGUGUCGAUUUAGGAACUUGAUAUCCUCGACGUGCAGCGUGGUGGGUAAAUGGCCGCACAAUGCACCCCAGGCGUUCACGCACGAGUCGGUAUCUGGGCACGAUUGACACGGGCCUACGUUCGAAAAGCACGUUCGAAGAAUCGGCAGAUGAAAAGAGACAGAAGUAUGUAGGACAGGGGGAGAAAAGGGAUAACAUCGUCGCACGCUCCUAGAAAGCGUUGUAAGUACGUAGAAGGAGUAAACGGGGUUCCGUUUCGGUGGAGUUAUGGGGUGAGUCAUCACCUGGCUUCGCUUCAUAAAAGGGGGAAAACUAGACUCAUAGGACUGCCGUGUUAUACCUUAUGGGGGUUUACGGGCGGGGCACAAACAGAUUCCGGCUGGUUGCGUCGCGAAAGGCAGGUGAGGACAGGGGUAUAUGCCAAAUGCACUCACUUACAGUGAUAUUAAGCGUUUCCAUGCUGUAGAAUGGUUUUUGCAGAUAGUUCUAUCAUAAUCCGCGAUAGUUGUGAUAGACGUAUUUUUUGUAAAUUUCUUGAUCUUACUAAAUACUUGGCAUAUCUUGCACAGUGAGUUAUUAGUUAAUAAUUGCAGGGAAUUGACUAGUUAGACAUUGUAGAUUAUACCUCUUUCAUAAUUUUAUAAUUUUAUAUAAUGUUGGAUAAUCAGAUAUACUGGUAAUUUGUAAAAUUUGCUUGUAAAGUUUCGUUUAUUUUAUUAUCGAAUUUCUUAGGUACUAUAAUACGAGAGAAUUUCAUCCAAGAAAGUUUCAAACACUUGAUUUAUCUAGGGAUUGUACAAUCCUUGGCGAGAUUUUUUGGGAACUUCUGAAAAGUCAGAAAAGUAUAUCUAAAAAAAAAAAGAUAAAUAAACAUAAAAAACAACUUUAGGUAAAUAUAAAGAAUGUUCCAGCCAAUUAGUAGAAUCAGCGAUAUUUUUAUUGUUUGUUGAAGUAAUUAGUUGAAGAAAUACUCUAAACCUUUUCUUUUGUAUAUCCGUGACCUGGAGACUGCUGUUACGAAGAGAAUAGAAUUUAGUGAAAAAAAAGUUCAAAAUAAGGAAAGGUGCAUAUUAUUGUGCCCUUGAAUAUAAAUUUUGUGUUGGGUUAUAAAGUCUAGAAACAAAAGAGCUAUAAGUAGAUUUCUAUUGCUAUUUCUUGUAGCCUUCAGCUAGAGCUAACACACCAAGGUUAACUUUUUGGUACUGUCCGUUGCUAUAAAUAUAUGAACGUGCUUCCUAUCAUUUUUCUAUUGUAUUGUAACACUGAAACAGCGAGGAUCUGGAUCAGCAUACACUAUACCUAUACUUAUUUCAAUAUAUUUUUCUAUUACAAAUUCAUCCACUCGUUUCUCUAUCAGCCAACCUCAACAUUGUUAUACGUUAAAAUGUUAUUUAUUAUAUGGUAAAAUAUUAUGGAUGAAAAUUCAUCUUUAAAUGUUGUAGAUAAAAUAGAUAAACGAAGUUAAAUGAUAAUGUAGGAUUUCUUGAAAUUGUUGUAUAUUAUGAGACACAUAUGUACUAAGUACAGCAAAAAAAAAAAAAAAAGAA